rnacentral:tRNA from 1 species
AGCUCAGUUGGUAGAGCGCUCCGCCUGUAAUGGAGAGGUCCCGGGUUCGAUACCCAG